AUUGAACGCUGGCGGCAGGCCUAACACAUGCAAGUCGAGCGAGAAAGCCUUUCGGGGUGAGUACAGCGGCGGACGGGUGAGUAACGCGUAGGAAUCUACCUGGUAGUGGGGGACAACUUGGGGAAACCCAAGCUAAUACCGCAUACGCCCCAAGGGGGAAAGCGGGGGAUCUUCGGACCUCGCGCUAUUGGAUGAGCCUGCGUAGGAUUAGCUUGUUGGUGAGGUAAAGGCUCACCAAGGCGACGAUCCUUAGCUGGUCUGAGAGGAUGAUCAGCCACACUGGAACUGAGACACGGUCCAGACUCCUACGGGAGGCAG
rnacentral:rRNA from 1 species